UGGGGAAUCUUAGGCAAUGGGGGAAACCCUGACCUAGCCAUGCCGCGUGGAGGAAGACACCCCUAUGGGGCGUAAACUCCUUUUCUGUUGGAAGAAAACCCUGUUUUGCAGGGCGUGACGGUACAACAGGAAUAAGCACCGGCUAACUCCGUGCCAGCAGCCGCGGUAAUACGGAGGGUGCAAGCGUUGUCCGGAAUUACUGGGCGUAAAGGGUGUGCAGGUGGGACAGCAAGUCAGGGGUGAAAGCCUACGGCUUAACCGUAGAAGUGCCCUUGAAACUGCUGUUCUUGAGUCCUGGAGAGGUUAUCAGAAUUCGUGGUGUAGCGGUGAAAUGCGUAGAUAUCACGAGGAAUACCAGCGGCGUAAGCGGAUAACUGGACAGGUACUGACACUGAGGCACGAGAGCGUGGGGAGCAAACA
rnacentral:rRNA from 1 species